GUGCUGUGGAUGAUGAGAUUAACAAUUAUACAGUUAUCCCUGACUGAUAUAUCAGGUGCUGAUAAAUUUGUAAUCUGACAUGCAC